GACGAACGCUGGCGGCGUGCUUAACACAUGCAAGUCGAACGGAAAGGCCCUGCUUUUGUGGGGUGCUCGAGUGGCGAACGGGUGAGUAACACGUGAGUAACCUGCCCUUGACUUUGGGAUAACUUCAGGAAACUGGGGCUAAUACCGGAUAGGAGCUCCUGCUGCAUGGUGGGGGUUGGAAAGUUUCGGCGGUUGGGGAUGGACUCGCGGCUUAUCAGCUUGUUGGUGGGGUAGUGGCUUACCAAGGCUUUGACGGGUAGCCGGCCUGGGAGGGUGACCGGCCACAUUGGGACUGGGAUACGGCCCAGACUCCUACGGGAGGCAGCAGUGGGGAAUAUUGCACAAUGGGCGGAAGCCUGAUGCAGCAACGCCGUGUGCGGGAUGACGGCCUUCGGGUUGUAAACCGCUUUCGCCUGUGACGAAGCGUGAGUGACGGUAAUGGGUAAAGAAGCACCGGCUAACUACGUG
rnacentral:rRNA from 1 species